rnacentral:sRNA from 1 species
GCCGGGCGUGGUGGCUCAUGCCUGUAAUCCCAGCACUUUGGGAGGCCGAGGUGGGCGGAUCACCUGAGGUCAGGAGUUCAAGACUAGCCUGGCCAACAUGGUGAAACCCCAUCUCUA